UCCAAGAUAGCUCAGUUGGUAGAACAUGAGACUCUUAAUCUCAAGGUCAUGGGUUCAAAUCCCAGUUUGGCAGGAA